rnacentral:lncRNA from 1 species
UAGAGUGUGUACUAUUACCAUUUUUCCUUUGCCCUUCCUCCUAUGAUGGGAAGCAAAGAAGAUCCCCUCAGAACAUUUGGGAUCUGAUGAACAACCAAGCGAGUCUGUAUUUCUACAUUCUUGCAUUGUAUUAGCCAUAUUUUCCCAUCGCUGUGGUACUAUGUAUCUCAAAUUUGUAUUCGAGACCUUGUGGUUUGCCUCGUGUAUUAUCUUCAGUUCUUACUGAAUGGACAAUAAUAUAACAAUUUUCAUAUUGAUAUCUGAGAUACUGUGGUAAUGCCAUAUCUCAAAUUUGUAUUUUAGACCUUGUGGUUUGGCUCGUGUAUCUUCAGUUCUUACUGAAGGAACAAUAAUAUAACAAUUUGACACAUUGAUAUCUGAGAUACUGCAGUACUACCUAUCUCAAAUUUGUAUUGAAGACCUUGUGAAUUGGCCUGUGUAUCAUCUUCAGUUCUUACUAAACGAACAAUAAUAUAACAAUUUGUAACAUUGAUA